CCUACGGGCGGCUGCAGUAGGGAAUAUUGCUCAAUGGGGGAAACCCUGAAGCAGCAACGCCGCGUGAUGGAUGACGGUUUUCGGGUUGUAAACUCCUUUUGUUAGAGAAGAUAAUGACGGUAUCUAACGAAUAAGCACCGGCUAACUCCGUGCCAGCAGCCGCGGUAAUACGGAGGGUGCAAGCGUUACUCGGAAUCACUGGGCGUAAAGAGGGCGUAGGCGGGAUAGCAAGUCAGAUGUGAAAUCCUAUGGCUUAACCAUAGAACUGCAUUUGAAACUGUUAGUCUAGAGUAUGGGAGAGGUAGGUGGAAUUCCUGGUGUAGGGGUAAAAUCCGUAGAGAUUAAGAGGAAUACUCAUUGCGAAGGCGACCUGCUAGAACAUAACUGACGCUGAUGCGCGAAAGCGUGGGGAGCAAACAGGAUUAGAUACCCCAGUAGUC
rnacentral:rRNA from 1 species